UACGAAGGGGGCGAGCGUUGUUCGGAUUUACUGGGCGUAAAGGGCGCGCAGGCGGCUCAUUUUGUCAGGCGUGAAAGCCCCGGGCUUAACCUGGGAACUGCGUUUGAGACGGAUGGGCUAGAGUUCGGGAGAGGAGAGUGGAAUUCCCAGUGUAGAGGUGAAAUUCGUAGAUAUUGGGAAGAACACCGAUGGCGAAGGCAAUCCCCUGGGCCUGCACUGACGCUCAUGCACGAAAGCGUGGGGAGCAAACAGG
rnacentral:rRNA from 1 species